rnacentral:rRNA from 1 species
GACGAACGCUGGCGGCGUGCUUAACACAUGCAAGUCGAACGGAAAGGCCUGCUUUCCCUUGUGGAUUGCGGGUACUCGAGUGGCGAACGGGUGAGUAACACGUGAGUGAUCUGCCCCCAACUUGGGUAUAAGCCUGGGAAACUGGGUCUAAUUCCCGAUAGGACUGCAGGGUGGUGCCUGUGGUGGAAAACGAUUUUCUAGUGGUUGGGGAUGAGCUCGCGGCCUAUCAGCUUGUUGGUGGGGUAAUGGCCUACCAAGGCGGCGACGGGUAGCCGGCCUGAGAGGGUGGACGGCCACAUUGGGACUGAGAUACGGCCCAGACUCCUACGGGAGGCAGCAGUGGGGAAUAGUGCACAAUGGGCGGAAGCCUGAUGCAGCGACGCCGCGUGGGGGAUGACGGCCUUCGGGUUGUAAACUCCUUUCGACCCCGAGGAAGCCACCUGGUUGGAAGGGUGGUGACGGUAGUGGUAGAAGAAGCACCGGCUAACUACGUG